AAAACUAAUUCAUGUUUACUUAGGUUGGGGUGCAUUCACUAAAGAAAAUAUAUGGAAAGAUCUAAAGAUCCAUGAGGAAAACUGGAAAUCAGCGUCAUCAGCUUUUAAUGCUGAUCCUAAUAUGCUGAAGCAGGAGAAUAAUGAAUUGAAGGACCUGACCAUCUGUAAGAUCUGCCUUGAUGAGAAAGUCUCAAUCGUAUUCCUGCCCUGCGGUCACCUCAUGUCCUGCCCACAGUGUGCCCCCAUUCUCACCAAAUGCCCAUCUGUAGGACAAACGUCAAAGGGAUUGUAAGAACCAACCUUAUAGAGAAACGUAUAACCAAAUGAACAGCAAAUUAAUGUGAAUGAAGAACUAUGAUAAAGAAC